rnacentral:rRNA from 1 species
GAUGAACGCUGGCGGCGUGCCUAAUACAUGCAAGUCGAGCGAACAGACGAGGAGCUUGUUCCUCUGACGUUAGCGGCGGACGGGUGAGUAACACGUGGAUAACCUACUUAUAUGACUGGGAUAACUUCGGGAAACCGGAGCUAAUACUGGCUCAUAUAACGAACCGCAUGGAUCAAUAGUGAAAGACGGCUUUGGCGACUCAUAGAGAUGGAUCCGUGUCGGAUUAGCUAGUUGGUAAGGUAACGGCUUACCAAGGCAACGAUGCGUAGCCGAUCUGAGAGGAUGAUCGGCCACACUGGAACUGAGACACGGUCCAGACUCCUACGGGAGGCAGCAGUAGGGAAUCUUCCGCAAUGGGCGAAAGCCUGACGGAGCAACGCCGCGUGAGUGAUGAAGGUCUUCGGAUCGUAAAGCUCUGUUAUUGGGGAAGAACAGAUGUAUAAUUAACUAUGCCUGUCUUGACGGUACCUAAUCAAAAAGCCACGGCUAACUACGUG